ACCUUGCCGCGCUGUUCAGGUGCUUCGGUUUAAUCACUGAAGUUAAACGGGAAACUGGUGUAACACCAGUGCUGCCCUCGCAACGGUAAACGUAUUUACGCAAGCCCGACACCGGCCUGACAACGCGCGGUCGU
rnacentral:ncRNA from 1 species